GCCAGACUCCUACGGGAGGCAGCAGUGGGGGAUAUUGCACAAUGGGGGAAACCCUGAUGCAGCGACGCCGCGUGAGUGAAGAAGUAUUUCGGUAUGUAAAGCUCUAUCAGCAGGGAAGAAAAAAGACGGUACCUGACUAAGAAGCCCCGGCUAACUACGUGCCAGCAGCCGCGGUAAUACGUAGGGGGCAAGCGUUAUCCGGAUUUACUGGGUGUAAAGGGAGCGUAGACGGCAAUACAAGUCGGAAGUGAAAUACCCGGGCUCAACCUGGGAACUGCUUUGGAAACUGUAUGGCUGGAGUGCUGGAGAGGUAAGCGGAAUUCCUAGUGUAGCGGUGAAAUGCGUAGAUAUUAGGAGGAACACCAGUGGCGAAGGCGGCUUACUGGACUGUAACUGACGUUGAGGCUCGAAAGCGUGGGGAGCAAACAGGAUUAGAUACCCCGGUA
rnacentral:rRNA from 1 species